UAAUAUACUUAUUAUUAGCAAAUAAAAUUACUUAGGGUCGGUUUCACCAACAAAAAAUAAAUCAGUGAAUAGUUAUUCGUCGAAUAAGAUUUAUUAGUCGAUUAAAUUUUAUUUCGUUUCAAUAACUAUUUGUAAUCCACAGUUAGUUAUUCGUCAAAUAAGUUCAAAGUAUAAUGAUUUUCCACAGACUGUACUCGUUGACAUAAGCGAAUGACAGUUCUUCUUCCUCAUAUUAGCUUGUUGGCCUCCACCUCUUCGGUGUUUUGCCAAGCACAUUGCAUUAUUUUCCACUGUAAUCCCACGUGACCUCUGGUUGGCACAUAAACUAACAAAGAGGUUAUGUUUGUAGGUAUCUUUUAUCUAUUUUUCAAUGAUUUUUCAUUGUUUAUAAUCAUCGUAUUUUGUCUAUUUUGGAUUCAUUUGGAUUUCGUUUCCUGUUUUUGUGAACUUUAUAAACUUAACCACAAUGCAAAAUGAUUAUUUAAGGAAAUUAUUAUUGGAAACUUCAGAUGUUGCGAGAAAGAUAUUUAUUGAAGCUGAAAAUAAUUGGGGAUUUAGAUCCAUACGCAAUUCAGUCAGAAUUGGAUUUUACAGUUAAGUGCAGUCCAUCAAGUUACUAUUAUAGAUAUUUAUACAUAUUUGGUGGAGUCUCACAGUUGCUACUCUAAGCAGCAGAUGAAAGCAUACAAAAGCCUUCAGGCACAUAAAUAUUUUACAGCUGGAUUUGUUUUGAAUGGAGUAAAAAUUGUUAAUGAUUUCCAUAUUAUUGUAGGAAAGGUGAAGCAUUUCCAAAAAGCUAAUGCUAAACGACUAAAUGCUUGGGUGGGGUGAUAGCCAGUUCUGAUGACAUAGCAAAUGCACAUUGUAUGCAUAUGGCCGGUAAUAGUAAAGUAUGCCCAGGGCAAGACAGACGAAGAAGAACCCAAUGCAUGUACAUAUGUUACAGCUACAUGGUUUGGAGAUAGCAACAUAUGCAUUCUCUGAUGAAAAACUAAUGAGUUUUGAAACUGUUCGGUCAGAGUGCUUGUUGCGCUCACUGAACGAACUGAAAUAUGAGAUGGCUUUGGCAUUGUGUUGCAGCGAUAUGAAAAUGGUUAUUCAUUUUUAAUUAUAAUGUACUUCUUCAUCAUGAGUAAUUAUGUAUUGGUCUUUUAAAUGUGUAUUUAUUUUUGUAAUUAGUAUCAACUUGUAAUGAUAAUAUACAUUUAUCGUUUAAGGUAUGACUAUGUUUAGACUCUAAAAUAAAUGUUUUAAAAAUCGAA